UACGGAAGGCAGCAGUGGGGAAUAUUGCACAAUGGGCGAAAGCCUGAUGCAGCUAUGCCGCGUGUAUGAAGAAGGCCUUAGGGUUGUAAAGUACUUUCAUCGGGGAGGAAAAAACAAAACUAAUAAUUUUAUUUCUUGACGUUACCCGAAAAAGAAGCACCGGCUAACUCCGUGCCAGCAGCCGCGGUAAUACGGAGGGUGCUAGCGUUAAUCAGAAUUACUGGGCGUAAAGAGCACGUAGGUGGUUUUUUUAAGUCAGAUGUGAAAUCCCUGGGCUUAACCUAGGAACUGCAUUUUGAAAACUGAAAUACUAGAGUAUCGUAGAGGGAGGUAGAAUUCUAGGUGUAGCGGUGAAAUGCGUAGAUAUCUGGAGGAAUACCUGUGGCGAAAGCGGCCUCCUAAACGAAUACUGACACUGAGGUGCGAAAGCGUGGGGAGCAAAACAGGGAUUAGAUACC
rnacentral:rRNA from 1 species